AAAAACCAUAACAGUGACGUAGCUCUUGCUACAAUUGUAAGUUGUGAUCCUAAAUUUAAACUUGAUGGUGCUGAAAUUAGAAAUGAAUUAUGGGCAUUUCAUGUCGAUAUGUCACUUUUGAAAACUGAAAAUUUGGUACGGAGUCGCAAAACCUGCAAUACUCUCGGUAAUGCAGAAAAAUAAAGAUUGCAUGGCCUUCAACCUUUGUACGUGACUAGUACCUUAACUGUAUUACUACUUGCAUCAUGUCAAUGCAUUGUGUGUUAACAAUUCAUUCUGUUUUCUUGUUUGUAGAUUCAAAAGACUAAUGGAUGAGUAUAUGGGUGCAUGGCAAGUAUAUUGCAAUGAUGAUGUUCAUGUUCCAGUUCAUGAUGAAGAUGAUGAUCGAUGCUUUCAGUUUUAGUUAAGUAGUAGGGAUGACGUUCCUCUUGGUUGUUGUUCGUCGGUUCAAUUUUAGUUAAGUUCUAGGGAUGUUGAUGGAUGCUUU
rnacentral:lncRNA from 1 species